UAAUGGGGGGGUAAUGGGGCUGGUAGUCAAUGUGGGGCUGUAAUGGGGGCUAUAAAUGGGGGGCUAAUGGGGGGCUAAUGGGGCUGGCAGUCCAAUGUAGCCCUGUAAGGGGGGUGGUAAUGGGGCUGGCAGCCAAGGAGUGCCUAUAAUAAUGGGGUGACAGAUGCGGGGCUGGUAGCGACCGCAGCCGCCGUGGCCCUAUAAGAGUAUGGGGGUUGAUAUGGGGGCAUGUAAUAAUGGGGGUUAAUGGGACUUAAUGGAGCUGGCAGCCAAUGUGGGUCUAUAAUGGGGGGUUAAUGGGGCUGGAAGCCAAUGUGGCUCUAUAAUGGGGGUUAAUGGGGCUGGCAGCCAAUGCGGCCCUAUAAUAGGGGUUAAUGGGGCUGGCAGCCAAUGUGGGGCUAUAAUGGGCGGGGUUAAUGGGGCUGGCAGUCAAUGUGGGGCUAUAAUG
ensembl:lncRNA